rnacentral:rRNA from 1 species
AGAUUGAACGCUGGCGGCAUGCCUUACACAUGCAAGUCGAACGCGAAAGCGGGGCAACCCGCAAGUAGAGUGGCGAACGGGUGAGUAAUGCAUCGGAACAUUUCCAGUAGCGGGGGAUAACCUGUCGAAAGAUAGGCUAAUACCGCAUACGACCUACGGGUGAAAGCGGAGGACCGCAAGGCUUCGCACUAUUGGAGUGGCCGAUGUCGGAUUAGCUAGUUGGCGGGGUAACGCCCACCAAGGCGACGAUCCGUAGCUGGUCUGAGAGGACGAUCAGCCACACUGGAACUGAGACACGGUCCAGACUCCUACGGGAGGCAGCAGUGGGAAUUUGGACAAUGGGCGCAAGCCUGAUCCAGCCAUGCCGCGUGAGUGAAGAAGGCCUUCGGGUUGUAAAGCUCGUUUCGGUGGGAAGAAAUAGUACGUGCUAAUACCACGGACUGAUGACGGUACCCGAAGAAGAAGACACCGGCUAACUACGUGACUAGCAGCCGCGUAAUC